CGCGGGCAUCACGCGCUCGGCAGCGCCCCAGGAGCCCAGGUAAAGGCCAGCGGCUCCCGGGAACGCCCCACCGCGGACCCCGGAGCCUCUCUUCCGAGGGGAGUUGGCUGUUGGUCGCGAACGUGUCACGGUUUAAGGAGAGUCCUGUGAGCACAGUGAAACAUACCAAAGAUGGAUCUCUGGGAGUGUCCAUGUUAAAGAUAUAAAGUUACACGUGGGCCACUUGGAGGUGAUAGCUGGUAUUUGAAAACUGUUAAGAAUAAGCAAGAUACAAUGGGCUUUGCAGAGGGAAGGAAAAGAAGAUAAGCAUUGUACCCAAAUGCCGACAUCAUAGAUUGACUAAAAUUUUCCCAAAUUUUAUGAGUAUUUCAUUCCUAGCCUUAAAAAUGCUGUACAUUUUUCAUAUACUCUGUGCAUUUCUUCUAUAUUCCUAGUAGAUGAAAAGCCAUUAUAAAGUUUGAGCUAGGAGUACCUUAAAAAUCAUUCAACACAAUGCCCUCAUUUUACUGCUAUAGAGGAUUUGACCCAAACAGGUCAAACCACUUUGCCUAGAGACACGUGGAUUCCUGGGAGUAGCUGCAGAGUAAGGCACAGGCCUGCCGCUUCCCAGACCACUGCUGUUUCUGCCAAACCGCACCACCUUUUACUGGAAGAUCAUCAUUGGAAACUGCUUUGCCUUUUUCUCAUUUUUCCACAGAAGUCCAGCCUUCGAUCAUUUUUAUGCUCUUUCAACUAAUCUCUAAAACUUUGACAUGGCAUAAGAUAGCAGAUCAGACUGCUACGAUUUUCUGAAGACUGACACAAGAGUCGUUCAGUACUCAAUCCUGCUGCCUACUGCCUGUCAGCCGUCCAUCAAUUCAAAAAUGAAUAUGUAGGAAUGUAUUUCACAGUCUUGGCAGGACAAAUUUUUUAAAGACUCUGACUGAUUUACAACAUUUAACCAAAUUGCUAGAAAUAUACUCUGACAAAAAAUAACCCUCAAUACUAAAACAUAAUUAUAGGAAAGCAAAAAAAAAAAAAAGAAGAAGAAAAAAGAAAGAAAGAGAAAAAGGAAAAAGAAAAAGAAAAAAAUGCACUCUUCUCUACCUGGAAACAGUCUGAGAUAACACUAGGUGAAAUACUGAUUUUCUUUCUGCUUUUUCUUUUAAAUUAAAUAAGCUAAAAUACUUUUUGGUACUUGAUUAUUUGAUGUGGGGUAGGAGAGGAGACAGAAGGUAUAUUCAACCACAAUAACUGGAAUUUCUUUUUUUUUAUUUUUUUUAAUAACUGGAAUUUCACAAGAAAAUAAGAUUAACAUAUUAAAGCAAUAAAAAUCCAUUGAACUAA